rnacentral:rRNA from 1 species
UUAACUAUUAUCUUAAUCCUUUACCCAUACUGAACAAUUUUAUAUCCCUAUAAAAAAUUUUAUGUUAAAACUAGUAACAAGAAGAAGACUCUUCUCUUUAAUGCAAACGUAAAUCAAAAAGGACAAACCACUGAUACUUAACAUCCCUGAAUAUAAAGUAACAACUAACCAAGAAAAUUCUACUUUUAUCUAUGUUAACCUAACACAAGAGCAUUUUAAGAAAGAUUAAAAGAAAAAGARGGAACUCGGCAAAUAUUAACCUCGCCUGUUUACCAAAAACAUCGCCUCUUGAACACUAUAAGAGGUCCAGCCUGCCCAGUGACCCUGUUUAACGGCCGCGGUAUCCUAACCGUGCAAAGGGGG